UUCUUUUACGUUUGUUGAUUGUUUUUGGUGUUGUGCUGGCAUGUCCUUGGGCCACACACACACCCCCAUACCUGCAUCACCUUCUGUUACUCUCUCUCUCUCUCCCGUGCUCCCUUUCCCCUUCCUUUUCACCAUAUACGUACGGACCACACCCAAAACCCCUCAAACGUUUGCAGAUCAAGGGAACCAAGUACACCAUCAAGCUCGUGGGGCUGUGAGGAGCACAGUCGUACCAUUUUCAGCUUGUAGAUGUGUUGGUGAGGUCCCAAGGAGCUUGGGAGUGCAUCGUUGGACGGAAUUGGACGUCGGAUUAGCCUGGUUCGAGUUUGACCGGUUUUGGUAAUUGGUGACAGGUGACACGUAUCCCGAGGACGAGCGUGCUCACGCGAGGCAGGGGGGCUACGACCCUUCCACAUA